rnacentral:miRNA from 12 species
AAUUGCUCGGUUUCUCCGCUUU